UUCCUGAUUUUCAGUUUUUCGUUCUCUCUCUUCCUUUCUUUUUCUCUCUCCUCUUGCAAAACCUCUCGUUCGACCUCAUUUCAAUGUUUGAUUUUCAGGACUUCGUGUUCUUCAAUGUUCAAGUUUCGUUGUUCCUACAAUUUUUUCUUCUUCUUGCGAUUUUCUCUCUUUCAAUUCGCCAGGAUUCUUGUCUAAAGAAGACGAUAAUCAGGGUAAUCCAAUGCGUAGACAAGGGAAACAUGGCCAGAAGGAAAAAGAUAAAUAUGUUAAGAUUGUAAGUGUUGUUUUGUUUGUCUAUGUUUUGAUCCAUUGACUUUGGUCUUGGUUUUUUGCUGCACUCGGGUAUGGUGCAGUUUUAUGGUUAUUCUGCUGAUGUUAGUCGUGAACUAUAGGUUGCUGGUUCAGCUUCUUUUAUGUAGUUUGUUUAUGUUUUUCUUUAAAAUGUGGAUCAGUAAAAUUCUACGAUCAUGAUAACGAUGCAUAGAUAGCACACCCCUUGGUAAAUUCUAGUCAGUAGUUGCUUGACUUGGUUCAAGCUGAUCUUGCAGUGCCAACUUCAGCUAGCACUCGAUUUCUAAUUGCAGUUGGUUUUAUGAGCUGAAAAGUCAGGUUUGAGAUGUUGUUUGCAGUUGGUACAUUGGUUCAAGUUGUUGUCUAUUUUGUUGAGCUUCUGUAGUUAGGUGUUGUGAGGAGUUUGUGGUUAAUCUUUACUCUUUGUAUUGUUUGUUUAUUUUUAGUUUGAAAACCUUUAAUUUGGCUUCCAUUACUCCAAUACUCGGAGUUUCUAUGUUGUACAGAUACUUUUGAGUUUUUUUAAUUUACUUUUGAGAUUUUUUAAUUUACGUUUGAGUUAAUAUUAUUUACUUUUGAUUUUUUAUGUUCCUCUUAAUCCUAUAACAAUUUAAUUCUUAGACUUUGAUUCAAGGCAGUCAGGCAAGUCUCCUGGAUGACAAGUCCACAAAUUUAAGUGCAUAAUUGCAUGACAUUUUUCUAUACAGAGUUCCAUUUAACUUGUGUCCUGCUAUGUUCAGAUAGUUAAUCAAGGGCAGGGAUAACAACGACAUAGGAAACGACCACAUAAAUUUAUUUGAAGAAAUGUCCAGGUUUUUGAGCUGAUAAUAUGACUCAAUUUGAGCAGGAAUACCAGAUCUAAACUUAUUAUUUCUUAAGAUGAGAGAAAUCAGGUCCAAGCGAGUUACUCUCCAGGUUGAGCAUUUCAAGGUUCUUCAGUCCCCUAAGAUCAGGUACUUCUCCAGGAAACUCAUUAUUUGCAAGUGUCAGACUCUGAGACCACUCAAUUUACCCAAACUCUUUGGUAACGACCCAUCGAAAGAGUUGUUGAUCAAACUCAGAGCAUUCAGAGCAGGAAAUGAACCCAGUAUAUCAGGGAUUUCACCACUAAACUUGUUAUCAUCAAGUACAAUACCUUGAAGGUUUGUCAGAGAUGAAAUUUCCCCAGGGAUCUUUCCAUAUAAGAAGUUUGGUCUACUUUCUACAUUUUAAUUAUUAUGUAUUGGCUAAUUAGUUUUCUACUUUUAUUAUUUAGUUUUUGUAUUGUUUUACUUACUUUUAAUCCAAAAACCUUUACUUUGACCUCCGAGCAUAUACUUGUUUCUUAUAAUUUGGAUCAGUUUGUAGAUUGAUGAUGAAAGUUAAUGACUUGGAGUUUCUUUGCUCGAUCAA